GUGGGGAAUCUUAGACAAUGGGCGCAAGCCUGAUCUAGCCAUGCCGCGUGAGCGAUGAAGGCCUUAGGGUUGUAAAGCUCUUUCGUGGGGGAAGAUAAUGACUGUACCCCAAGAAGAAGCCCCGGCUAACUCCGUGCCAGCAGCCGCGGUAAUACGGAGGGGGCUAGCGUUGUUCGGAAUUACUGGGCGUAAAGCGCACGUAGGCGGACUGGAAAGUCAGGGGUGAAAUCCCGGGGCUCAACCCCGGAACUGCCUUUGAAACUCCCAGUCUUGAGUUCGAGAGAGGUGAGGGGAAUUCCGAGUGUAGAGGUGAAAUUCGUAGAUAUUCGGAGGAAAACCAGUGGCGAAGGCGGCUCACUGGCUCGAUACUGACGCUGAGGUGCGAAAGCGUGGGGAGCAAACAGGAUUAGAUACCCGAGUAGUCC
rnacentral:rRNA from 1 species